rnacentral:sRNA from 1 species
AGUUGUAAACUAUUAAUGAGUCAACAUUAUAUUCCAGAUUUAUUUUGGAAAUAUGCAUGUGUGAGCUGUAAACGAUAGAAUUACCAUUUAAAAACGAUAGAAAGAUAAGAAAAAUAUUUUAUCAUUUAAAUUUUCAGUGUAGGUCAAAACUUAACUAUGGUUGA